rnacentral:rRNA from 1 species
GACGGAGGGUGCUAGCGUUGUUCGGAAUUACUGGGCGUAAAGGGCGCGUAGGCGGCCGCUUGCGUCGGAUGUGAAAGCCCGGGGCUCAACCUGGGAAUGGCAUUUGGGACUGCAAGGCUUGAGUGCGGCAGAGGAGACUGGAAUUCCUGGUGUAGCAGUGAAAUGCGUAGAUAUCAGGAGGAAUACCGAUGGCGAAGGCAGGUCUCUGGGCUGACACUGACGCUCAUGCACGAAAGCGUGGGGAGCAAACAGG